AGUGAACGCUGGCGGCGUGCCUAAUACAUGCAAGUCGAACGGAGUGGCGCACAGGGGAGUAAUAUAUAGCUAAUCUGCCCCUUGCUGGAGGACAACAGUUAGAAAUGACUGCUAAUACUCCAUAGCAAGGGAUGAGACUAUAUCGUAUCAGCUAGUCGGUGGGGUAACGGCCUACCGAGGCUAUGACGCGUAACUGGGCUGAGAGGAUGAUCAGUCACAUUGGAACUGAGACAGCGUCCAAACAUCUACGGGAAGGAGCAGUAGGGAAUAUUGCGAAAUGGGGGAAACCCUGACGCAGCAACGCCGCGUGGAGGAUGACACUUUUCGGAGCGUAAACUCCUUAUGUUAGGGAAGCGGUACCUAACGAAUAAGCACCGGCUAACUACGUGCCAGCAGCCGCGGUAAUAC
rnacentral:rRNA from 1 species